CUCGAAUUCCUUCCGAUGCAGAUAUUCGGUGGAGAUGAACGCCGCCGAUUCGAGUGGACGAACGAAAAACACUGAGGCGGGCAACGACGGCAACGACGGCAACGACGGCGGCGGCGAGCGAGUGUUCGUUGUGAGGUUUAAAGAAAGAUUGGGCGAGUAGAAAUUGGUUUCUUUGGGUUGAUUGAUUUUCGUAAGUUUUGCGAGGUUAGAGAAUAUUAUAGAGAAACUCGUGCUCGAAGAUGUGUAUGCAAUUUAUUUUAUUUCUUUCUUUCUUUUUAAAUAAAUAAAAAUUGUUUUCCCUGGGCUUGAUCCUCAUAGCUUUUACAAAAUAAAAUAUUAUCAUAGAAGAUUAA